AACUAUCACCGUGUCACGUUACUAACAAGAACACACAUCCUUAACCGCAAAAAGGUAAACAAACAAGUGGUAUUAAAUCCGUUGGUGCCCCGAGGGACGUCUAAGAGGCACCACCCAUCAUCAACGGCCGGAAUAAACUCUAUAGCUACUACAUCUUCCCCAUUACGAUUAGUUUAGUAAGCGUAAAUUUAAUAGAUCAAAGCAGCGAAGGACAACUACAGACGCCUGAUAAGUUAACGCAUGGCAUAAGCAAAUAAUAAAAAGGUAUGUCUGUGACCAGGUUUUGACUCAAGGAAAAAAAAGGGGUACAAAUCGGGACCACAAACGCUUCUGCAGAAAUCAUUUUGUG